rnacentral:rRNA from 1 species
UACGGAGGUGGCAAGCGUUGCUCGGAAUCACUGGGCGUAAAGGGGCGCGUAGGCGGGGAGGUAAGUCGGGUGUGAAAUCCCUCGGCCCAACCGAGGAACUGCGCCCGAGACUGCUUCUCUUGAGUCCCGGAGAGGAAGGUGGAAUUCCCGGUGUAGCGGUGAAAUGUGUAGAGAUCGGGGAGGAACACCGGUGGCGAAGGCGGCCUUCUGGACGGUGACUGACGCUGAGGCGCGAAAGCGUGGGGGGAGCAAAACGGG